ensembl:lncRNA
GAAAAAUUCCUUCUCUUCCCUGGAAUUCCCUCCCACAAAUCCCACGAAUUCUCUCCCUGAAUUUUUUCCUUGUGAGAUUCGGCCUCUCCUAAUCCAAUUUUAGAUUUUUUUUUUUUGGGGGUGGGAAACAUCCAGACAGAGAAAAAACUCAGAAUUGCCAUUUUUCCAUGAAUCCCAUCUUUUCCCGCUCCUUUUCCCACAGGCAGUACCUGAAACAGGAAAGUUUGGAUAAGAAAAGGAAGGAAUUCGACACCAACGGAUGGACCCUGCUGAGCAAGAAGAGCCAGGUUUGGACCGCCCAGAAUUCCCAAAAAAUUCAGGAUUUCCUUGAAUUCCUGGCCUUUUUUUGGGGGAAAAAAAAAAAAAAAAAAAAAAAGAGGGAACAAAUCCCAAAAUGUUGAGAGAGGAAAUUCCCCACAGGGAUGUGAUCACGGGGAAAGGGUUUAGCUGGGAAUGCAGGAAAUUCUGGAAUUCUGGGACCUCCCUUUUUUUUUUUUUUCCAGGAGGAUGUUCCCCCAGAUUUCUCAGGGAUUUUGGGGGGGAUGUGGGGGUUUGGGAAUGCUGAUCCCUGUUUUUUUUCCAGGAGAUCCCUCAGCAGAUGAACGGCAGCGACUGCGGGAUGUUCGCCUGCCGCUACGCCGAGUGCAUCUCCAAGGACAAACCCAUCAACUUCACCCAGCAACACAUGCCCUACUUCCGGAAGAGGAUGGCCUGGGAAAUCCUGCACAGGAAGCUCCUCUGAUGCCAGAAAAAUCCUGGAAUUCCACGGAUUUGGAUCAGAAGAAUCCCAGGAUUGUCCUGGGGACGCAGCCAGGGAACUCCGGGUCCUGCUCUUCCCAAACCCCCCCUCGGAUUUGGGGGGAAUAGAAAAGUCUGGAAGCACAGUUGGGAUUUUUUGGAGUUUCUUUCCCUCUUUUUUGAGAUUCCAGGAUGGAUUUUUUCCCCCCCUUUUUGAGACGGGGAAAUUUGGGAAUUUUGGACUUUUUGGAGCUGGAUUUUCGGGAAAAGGGAGGCGUGGAUUUGGGUUGGAGAAAUGCGGAUUUGGGAAAAGCAGGGGAAGGGUUUGGUUCUGGAGGGAAUUUCUGGGGAUUAUUCCCAUUUUAUUUCCACUUCAUUCCCAAAAUUUGGGGAUUUUUAUCCGUGGGAGAACCUGGAUUGGGAUCCCUGGGAAUAAUUCCUGCUUAAAUCCCAUUUCUUCUUCCCAAAUUCCUGCUUUUGGAUGUAUUUUCCAGGAUUAAGCUCUGGAAUGCCAGAAUUCCUCUGGAUUUAUUCCCAAACUUUGCUUUUCUGAGGGAUAAAUCCCAAAAGCUGAGCAAAAUCUGGGAUUUUUGGAGAAUUUUUAGGAAUUUUCCCCUCCCUUUCAGGCUGCUUCAUCCCAGCAGCUCCUGUUGCUUUUCCCUGGAAGAAAAAAUCUUCCCAAAUCCCACGAACUGCAGAACCAUGGGAAAAGCCCCAAAAGCCUGGAAUUCCUUCAAUUUUUCCCAAAAAAAAAAAGGCCAGGAUUUAUUUGGGGAGCUUUGCCCACCCCUUUCCCUGGAUUAAUUUAUUCCUGAAAUUUUUUGGAGCUUCCCAAACCUCUGGAUUUUCUCUUUCCUGGUGGAACAGAAGAUUUUUAGGAAGAAAAGUGGGGGGGAAAAUCCCAACUUUUUGUAUUUUCCCUCUCCUGCGGGAGCUGGGAAUUUUUUCUAUUUUUCCCAAGCUGGGAGCUGAAGUUUUAUACCGAAUUCCCGAAUUUUUGGAGCCCUUUUUCCUCCUUUUUUCCCAGCCCUUUGUGUCCCUUUGGAUCCUAAACUCCUUCCCCUGUUUUAUACCAGAUUCGUUUCCUACUUUUUUUAUCUUUUAUUGAAAUAAAAGAUCUGGGAAAAAAAUUAUGGAAUUGUGG